rnacentral:rRNA from 1 species
UACGUAGGUGGCAAGCGUUGUCCGGAUUUACUGGGCGUAAAGGAUGCGUAGGCGGACAUUCAAGUCAGAUGUGAAAUACCCGAGCUUAACUUGGGUGCUGCAUUUGAAACUGGGUGUCUAGAGUGCAGGAGAGGUAAGUGGAAUUCCUAGUGUAGCGGUGAAAUGCGUAGAGAUUAGGAAGAACACCAGUGGCGAAGGCGACUUACUGGACUGUAACUGACGCUGAGGCAUGAAAGCGUGGGGAGCAAACAGG